rnacentral:lncRNA from 1 species
CAAGCUUACAGGCUCAGGGGCUCAGGAGGCUCCAGGCUAAAUGGUGUUCCAGAAGGCUUCACCUGAGGGUAGAAAUUCACCUUCAGGUACCCCCUCCCUGCCUGCGUGAGAGCUGAGAGAGGAAGAUGAAUUCCUUAAGCUCUUCCCUGUGCUGGGAAGCAGUAGUGUUAAGAGAGAUCUCUGUGCUGAAGAUGGAGCUGCAGCCAAGAUGACCGGCAUAGUUUAUAGGCUUAUUCCACUGCCAGGCUUGCUUUUGGCCGUGGAGCUGAUCUUUUGCUGCCUGAAAUAUGCGACAAUCAAGAAUUUGAUGGUGCAGAGGGAUUGGCUGUAUAAUUUGUGGGGCCCAGUGCAAAAUGAAAAUGCAGAACCCCUGUAUGCGGAUUACUAUGAAUCUCAAGACGGCAAUAGCAAAACAUUAAGUGCAGAGCCUUUAUAUGUAUGGAGCCCAGUGUGAAGUCGAUCCUGCCCCUCUGAAAGACUGAACAGCGUGUUCAGGGUAGCAGCCACCUUGAGAGCACAGCUGGAGCAGGUCCACAGCGCAGAGAGGAGCCUGCCUUCCUCUCCACAUCUUAGUUUAUGGGACCAGUUAACAUGCUCACAUGCACACAAACACACAUGCACAAACACACACACAAACACCUGGACAGGUAGUUCCAAGAACCCUCUGACAGAAGUGUUCAGCAGAAUAAAAUCAG